ensembl:snoRNA LOC120101371 small nucleolar RNA U13
AUACUUUUUGUGAUUCAUAAAUGUGAGUUCUCAUGUCACUGUGAGGGAUAGGCUUCUCCCAAACUGUGUUAAAAUGUCAGGACAUUACCUGUCUGAUA